rnacentral:rRNA from 1 species
GAUGAACGCUGGCGGCGUGCCUAAUACAUGCAAGUCGAGCGAACAGACGAGGAGCUUGCUCCUCUGACGUUAGCGGCGGACGGGUGAGUAACACGUGGAUAACCUACCUAUAAUACUGGGAUAACUUCGGGAAACCGGAGCUAAUACCGGAUAAUAUAUUGAACCGCAUGGUUCAAUAGUGAAAGACGGUUUUGCUGUCACUUAUAGAUGGAUCCGCGCCGCAUUAGCUAGUUGGUAAGGUAACGGCUUACCAAGGCAACGAUGCGUAGCCGACCUGAGAGGGUGAUCAGCCACACUGGAACUGAGACACGGUCCAGACUCCUACGGGAGGCAGCAGUAGGGAAUCUUGCGCAAUGGGCGAAAGCUUGACGGAGCAAUGCCGCGUGAGUGAUGAAGGUCUUCGGAUCGUAAAACUCUGUUAUUAGGGAAGAACAAAUGUGUAAGUAACUAUGCACGUCUUGACGGUACCUAAUCAGAAAGCCACGGCUAACUACGUG